CUAUUUUAUUAAAAUGUAACAUAAAAUACAAACUUCUCUAAAAAUGGUGAAUCUGUCAAUGGGGGAUAGAUUUACUCAACACCAUGUGACCAUCAAACCACAACUGACAACUUGGCAUGGGAAAAUGUGUCUAUCAACCUCACAUCAAGGCAGACGAUAUGGGACCACAAGAACUCUAUGAUCUAUCAGCUCUUCUCAACACUCCAAAGGAUAAACAACUGACUAUGUUGUGAAGUCUGACACUAUUUUGGGGGUCAUGUUAUUGCAAGUUGGAUAUAUGGAUCUCCUUCAGCCUCCAACUUCUAAUAAAAGAUUCAGAAAUGGACAGCAAAUAAAUGACUAAAUUGCCUAAUGUGUUGAGGUUGAUUUGUAAUGUGUUCUUUGUAAUGUAUUGACAGUUGACUGUACGACUGGGUCUACAUUUUAGAACAGAUUGUUGUGCAUUGUAUGAUUGUUGUGUCAUUGUCUACUGUUUUUUUGUCACUCAAAUGGAACGAAAUGAAAAAAACUUGAUAUAAACCAUUGUUCACA